AGAGCUUGGUUGCUCUAUCAUUUUCUAAUGCUGCUGAUGGGAAGAUAUUUUCUAUUGUGAGAGGCUUGUUUUCCUGCUCCAUAGGAACAAUGAUCCAUAAGGAUUUCCUGAGGAAUGACUUCUCCUAAGACCUUCAGUGACAACUCCUCUCUGAUGGCUGCAGACUGUAAUGCUUCACUGCAAGCACAGCUGGCUGUUUGGGGUGGCUGACAUGCAGAGCUGCACCUGCUAGAAGAGAUGCUAAGAAAAGAGAUGUGUUCUGGGAGAUACAAAGGCAUUGUCUGACCGAUUGUGUGGGCAAAAGAGUUUUUUAAGACCAUCCUGUGUGACCUCCUGCAUUGACCAUCUGCUGGCUCCUGGUUGGGUGACAGAAAGCCUUUCAAGAUGCUACCAAACGUAUAUAAAUUACUCUGAUUUGAUGGUCUACAGCCUUGCCUUGGUUGGCUGUUCUGAGAGCCUCCUUCCAAGAUUUCCUGUUGCCUCCAUUUAAGAGCAGUUCUGUCUUUUCUUCAAUGAGUGGAGGUUAGUAAGACCCAGCAGAUGCUGCUGCCUGAGUUCAGUCAGCAGAGGAACACUGUGAUUCCUUCCAGCUUCUUUGCUUGUACAUCAAGAGGAAGGAGGAUGCUAACUUUAACUUCUCCCCAUUGUGCCCCAGAGAUUAGGCACCUUGCCAUAUACAUAUGUUAUCAAAAA